UACGGGGGGAGCAAGCGUUGUUCGGAUUUACUGGGCGUAAAGGGCGCGUAGGCGGCCACCGCAAGUCAAUUGUGAAAUCUCCGGGCUUAACCCGGAAAGGUCAACUGAUACUGCGGGGCUAGAGUGCAGAAGGGGCAACUGGAAUUCUCGGUGUAGCGGUGAAAUGCGUAGAUAUCGAGAGGAACACCUGCGGCGAAGGCGGGUUGCUGGGCUGACACUGACGCUGAAGCGCGAAAGCCAGGGGAGCGAACGGG
rnacentral:rRNA from 1 species